AUUGAACGCUGGCGGCAUGCUUUACACAUGCAAGUCGAACGGUAACAGGCCGCAAGGUGCUGACGAGUGGCGAACGGGUGAGUUACGCGUGAGAAACCUGCCUUUCAGUGGGGGACAACAGUUGGAAACGACUGCUAAUACCGCAUAAUGUUAUUUGGGGGCAUCCUCGAAUAACCAAAGAUUUAUUGCUGAAAGAUGGUCUCGCGUCUGAUUAGCUAGAUGGCGGGGUAACGGCCCACCAUGGCGACGAUCAGUAGCCGGUCUGAGAGGAUGAACGGCCACAUUGGGACUGAGAUACGGCCCAGACUCCUACGGGAGGCAGCAGUGGGGAAUAUUGGGCAAUGGGCGAAAGCCUGACCCAGCAACGCCGCGUGAAGGAAGAAGGCCUUCGGGUUGUAAACUUCUUUUAGCAGGGACGAAUUUUGACGGUACCUGCAGAAAAAGCAACGGCUAACUACGUGCCAGCCGCCGCCGUAAAAC
rnacentral:rRNA from 1 species